CACAUAGGGCUGAGGCGAAGCAACGAAGUCUCCACAGGCACAGAAACGCAUCUAAAAAAGGAGGAGAGCAAAGGAGACCCAGCUGGAAGGGAGCUGCCUCAGGAGCCCUGCCAAGCCCUCGGCCUGCCUGCAGCCCAGGGAGGAGCAGCCACAGCUUAGCACGGCUGGAAAGCAAUGAGGAGUGGGAUCAGCCUGCCCAGCCCAUGGGACAAGUUCCCACAGCCUUGCAGAGGAGGCAUCAGAACAGCACAAGCAAAUGUGUUUACAGCUUCACGCUUAAAUUUGAAACGUGUUUCUAACCUGACAUCUGUGUAUUUUCAGCCCUUUCCAAAGCUCUUGUUUUGCUUUCUGUGGCUUCUGCUUCAUUAUUCUAAUUUAAUAA